rnacentral:rRNA from 1 species
UCUAAGGCUGAUGGCGACCGGCGCACGGGUGAGUAACACGUAUCCAACCUGCCGAUAACUCGGGGAUAGCCUUUCGAAAGAAAGAUUAAUACCCGAUGGUAUAAUAAAACCGCAUGGUUUAAUUAUUAAAGAAUUUCGGUUAUCGAUGGGGAUGCGUUCCAUUAGGCAGUUGGUGAGGUAACGGCUCACCAAACCUUCGAUGGAUAGGGGUUCUGAGAGGAAGGUCCCCCACAUUGGAACUGAGACACGGUCCAA